rnacentral:rRNA from 1 species
UAGGGAAUAUUGGGCAAUGGGCGCAAGCCUGACCCAGCAACGCCGCGUGAGGGAAGAAGGUUUUCGGAUUGUAAACCUCUGUCCUAUGUGACGAAGGAAGUGACGGUAGCAUAGGAGGAAGCCCCGGCUAACUACGUGCCAGCAGCCGCGGUAAUACGUAGGGGGCGAGCGUUGUCCGGAAUUACUGGGCGUAAAGGGUGCGUAGGCGGUUGAUUAAGUUGGAUGUGAAAUACCCGGGCUUAACGUUGGGGGUGCAUUCAAGACUGGUCAACUAGAGUACAGGAGAGGGAAGCGGAAUUCCUAGUGUAGCGGUGAAAUGCGUAGAUAUUAGGAGGAACACCGGUGGCGAAGGCGGCUUUCUGGACUGACACUGACGCUGAGGCACGAAAGCGUGGGGAGCAAACAGGAUUAGAUACCCUGGUAGU